rnacentral:rRNA from 1 species
CCUACGGGUGGCAGCAGUGAGGAAUAUUGGUCAAUGGGCGGGAGUCUGAACCAGUCAAGCCGCGUGAGGGAAGAAGGUACAGUGUAUCGUAAACCUCUUUUGUCAGGGAAUAAAGGCCGGGACUAGUCCCCGGAUGAGGGUACCUGAAGAAAAAGCAUCGGCUAACUCCGUGCCAGCAGCCGCGGUAAUACGGAGGAUGCGAGCGUUAUCCGGAUUUAUUGGGUUUAAGGGGUGCGUAGGCGGCCUGUUAAGUCAGCGGUAAAAGCCCGGGGCUCAACCCCGACGAGCCGUUGAAACUGGCGGACUGGAGUUGGGGAGAGGUAGGCGGAAUGCGCGGUGUAGCGGUGAAAUGCUUAGAGAUCGCGCAGAACCCCGAUUGCGAAGGCAGCGUACCGGCUCCACACUGACGCUGAGGCACGAAAGCGUGGGUAUCGAACAGGAUUAGAUACCCUUGUAGUC